rnacentral:misc_RNA from 1 species
CCAAUAGCGUAUAUUAAAGUUGUUGCAGUUAAAAAGCUCGUAGUUGAAUUUCGGGAUCAAUAUAUCGGUCGUGCCAUCGGUACGUACUGGUAUCAUUGGUUUCUCCUUUCUGACGAACCAUGAUGUCAUUAAUUUGGUGUUAUGGGAAGUUAGGACUGUUACUUUGAAAAAAUUAGAGUGUUUAAAGCAAGCUCACGCUUGAAUACAUUAGCAUGGAAUAAUGAAAUAGGACGUUUGAUUCUAUUUUGUUGGUUUCUAGGAUCGACGUAAUGAUUAAUAGGGAUAGUUGGGGGCAUUAGUAUUCAAUUGUCAGAGGUGAAAUUCUUGGAUUUAUUGAAGACUAACUACUGCGAAAGCAUUUGCCAAGGAUGUUUUCAUUAAUCAAGAACGAAAGUUAGGGGAUCGAAGACGAUCAGAUACCGUCGUAGUCUUAACCAUAAACUAUGCCGACUAGGGAUCGGAUGAUGUUAAUUUUUUAAUGACUCAUUCGGCGCCUUACG